CCGCUGCUGCAGACCAAGCCCUCGGUGGGCGCCUCGGAGCCGGCCUGACCUUACCCGGACUUGGGAACCGCGCUUUCUAAAGCAAGGAGUGUCCCCUCUGCUCCCGAGCCAGCUGCACUCCCUCCGCCCUCAGCCAGCCCUCACCUGACGGGGGUCGAAGGCUAUUCUCCAAAGACCACCUUAGAUGAACCCGGAAGCACAGGUGGACUAUCCUAUAUCAGCUCUAGAUGUUUUGAACAUUCGGUGGACACCUUGAGGAAACUACACAAAAAUUGCAGCUG